CCUACGGGGGGCAGCAGUAGGGAAUUUUCGGCAAUGGGGGGAACCCUGACCGAGCAACGCCGCGUGAAGGAAGAAGGAAUUCGUUCUGUAAACUUCUGUUAUAAAGGAAGAAAGGCGGAUGAAGGAAAUGACAUCCGAGUGACGGUACUUUAUGAGAAAGCCACGGCUAACUACGUGCCAGCAGCCGCGGUAAUACGUAGGUGGCAAGCGUUAUCCGGAAUUAUUGGGCGUAAAGAGGGAGCAGGCGGCAGCAAAGGUCUGUGGUGAAAGACUGAAGCUUAACUUCAGUAAGCCAUAGAAACCAG
rnacentral:rRNA from 1 species